GGUAUAUUUCUCAGAUGAGGUCUCUCUUCUGUUUUUGCUUUUCUGUCACAGGAUUUGAAUUUCUGAUCUCUCUGUGUAUGUUUGUCCAAGAAGCGAGGGGUCUUCCAUUUGGGGUUAUAUGUCCCCAUUUGUUCGAUCCCUGGCCUCACUCAGUGGGUGAAGUAUCUGGCAUUGCUGUGAGCUGUGGUGUAGGCCACAGACAUGGCUCGGAUUUGGGGUGCCUGUGGCUGUGGUGUAGGCCGGCACCUAUAGCGCUGAUUCGACCCCUAGCCCAGGAACCUCUACAUACCGCAGGUGCAGCCCUAAAAAGAGAAAAAGAAAAAAGAAUGUAUACAUAUGGGUAGGACUCAGUCACUUUGCUGUACAACAGAAAUUGACAUAACAUUGUAAAUCAAAACUAUACUUUAAAAAAAGAGGUCCUUUGUAGAUGCGAUUGGAGUUCCCUGGUGGCUCAGUAGGUUAAGGAUCUGGUUUAUCACUGCUAUGGCUUGGGUUGCUGCUGUGGCGCAGGUUCAGCCCAUGGCCCUGGAAGUUCCAUACGCUGCAGGUGUGGCCAAAAGAAAAACGUCCUUUGUAGUUGUGAUUAAGCAAAUCACCUUGAGAUGGAGGAGAUUAUCCUGAAUUUUUCAGGUGAGCAGAGUGUAAUGACAAAAGUCCUUGCAGAAGGCAGGAUAGUCAAAGAAGCAGAUGUGAUGACCAAAAUAGAGAUCAGAAAGAGAUGUGAGGAGUUCCCGUUGUGGCGCAGUGGUUAACGAAUCCGACUAGGAACCAUGAGGUUGCGGGUUCGGUCCCUGCCCUUGCUCAGUGGGUUAACGAUCUGGCGUUGCCGUGAACUGUGGUGUAGGUUGCAGACACGGCUCGGAUCCUGAGUUGCUGUGGCUCUGGCGUAGGCCGGUGGCUACAGCUCCGAUUCAACCCCUAGCCUGGGAACCUCCAUAUGCCGCGGGAGCGGCCCAAGAAAUAGCAACAACAACAACAACAAAACAACAACAACAAAAAAAAAAAAAAAAAAAAAAGAGAUGUGAGAGCGAAACACUGCCAGUUUUGAAGAUGGAGGAAGGGGCCAGGAGCUAAGGAUUGCAGGCAGCUUUAGAAACUGGAAAAGACAGAGUUCCCAUCAUGGCUCAGGGGUUAACGAAUCUGACUAGGAACCAUUGAGGUUGUGGGUUCGAUCCCUGACCUCGCUCAGUGGGUGAAGGAUCCAGCGUUGCCGUGAGCUGUGGUGUAGGUCGCAGACACAGCUUGGAUCUGGCGUUGCUGUGGCUGUGGUGUAGGCUGGUGGCUGCAUCUCCGAUUAGACCCCUAGACUGGGAACCUCCAUGUGCUCCAGGAAAGACAG
rnacentral:lncRNA from 1 species